AUUGAACGCUGGCGGCAGGCCUAACACAUGCAAGUCGAACGGUAGCACAGGAGAGCUUGCUCUCUGGGUGACGAGUGGCGGACGGGUGAGUAAUGCAUGGGGAGCUGCCCAAUCGAGGGGGAUACCAGCUGGAAACGGCUGCUAAUACCGCAUACGCCCUGAGGGGGAAAGGUGGGGACCUUCGGGCCUACCGCGAUUGGAUGCACCCAUGUGGGAUUAGCUAGUUGGUGAGGUAACGGCUCACCAAGGCGACGAUCUCUAGCUGGUCUGAGAGGAUGACCAGCCACACUGGAACUGAGACACGGUCCAGACUCCUACGGGAGGCAGCAGUGGGGAAUAUUGCACAAAUGGGGGAAACCCUGAUGCAGCCAUGCCGGCGUGUGUGAAGAAAGGCCUGGUGUAAG
rnacentral:rRNA from 1 species